CCUACGGGGCGCAGCAGUGAGGAAUAUUGGUCAAUGGACGGAAGUCUGAACCAGCCAUGCCGCGUGCAGGAAGACGGCUCUAUGAGUUGUAAACUGCUUUUGUACAAGGGUAAACCUGAAUACGUGUAUUCAGCUGAAAGUACUUUACGAAUAAGGAUCGGCUAACUCCGUGCCAGCAGCCGCGGUAAUACGGAGGAUCCAAGCGUUAUCCGGAUUUAUUGGGUUUAAAGGGUGCGUAGGCGGAUUGAUAAGUUAGAUGUGAAAUUGCCGAGCUUAACUCGGGAACUGCCUCUAAUACUGGUGAUCUAGAGAGUAGAUGAGGUAGGCGGAAUGUAUGGUGUAGCGGUGAAAUGCUUAGAGAUCAUACAGAACACCGAUUGCGAAGGCAGCUUACCAAUCUAUAUCUGACGUUGAGGCACGAAAGCGUGGGGAGCAAACAGGAUUAGAUACCCCAGUAGUC
rnacentral:rRNA from 1 species